rnacentral:lncRNA from 1 species
GAGAUCAGAAGAAAGCCAUCUAUUUGGAUUGCAUCACUCUAACCUGAUCUGGAAACUUUUCCUGAAUACAUAUUUAAAGAACUACAGAAGACAAAAAUGAAAUUGCAUUGAAUGACAAUUAGAGACAAGUUUGUUCUUUCGAAAAAAUUGGAUAUUUGCUUUGUAAUUUUCACCAAUUUUAUUUUCCUGAAUUAUUUCUAUUUUUAAUGUAGAAACAAAAGUAUCUGAGAUGGGUCUAAGAUAUCAGAGAAUUAUCUGUAUUUGUAUUGAGAUAUAUCAAAAUAUAAUGUUAAUAUGAUUUGUCACUGAACUAUAUGAUAACUCAGUCGUACUUCUGUCUUUUAAAAUUGGCUACAGUUAAACUUCAAUCUGUCAAUAAAGUAAAAGCUACCUACGUGGGAAUCCUAAAAUUAUAACAUGUGAUAAAAUCUCAGGGGGAAGUUUUGGAUUCUGUUGUUUUUAUUUUCUGCCAUUUGUGCCGAUUUGAGCGGUAACUGACCUCAUGAAACAUGGAAGUAUUAUUUAUGUACAAGGAACUGACCCCUGAGGAAUUGAAGGUCAGCACUAAAAUAAAAAUGUAGGGGGAAAUGCAACUAAUAAAAUGUAGGAAAAAAAACGUGAACAGAAAAUAUAAUAAACCUACAUGGUGGUGCUUACAUAGAUAAAACUGAAAGAGGAUUGUAAAUAGAACUGUAAGAAUGGAUUUGUCUACCAUUUAUUAUAUUUUGUUAAAAAUAAAGAAAUUCAAUUUACAAUAUUGAAUUUUACUAGACUUUCUGGUUUGAAAAGCUAGAGUUUCUUUUUCCUUUCAGAAGGCUUGUAUUCAGGUAAUACUGAUGAAGAGAAUCCUCAAGACCUUUACACUCUGGGUCAGUUCCAAGAUGGCUAAGAAGCUGUUUAAAACAACCAAAAAACAACUUGAUAGGAUUGACAAUUUCAUGUUUUUUAAUAAGUGUUGAAUGAGACUGCUAACUACAAUCAGCAGAUAUACAUAUGUGGUGUCAUAGAUGUUAGGUUUUCAAAAAUAAAG